rnacentral:misc_RNA from 1 species
CGAUGCUAAUAUUACUAGACAAACUAUAUAACCACAAACACGUUCAAGUCAAAACAUAAAAUGAAAUGUCACUGUUACGCGUUCAACAGAGACUUCAAAAAGUUGUUCAUUGCCCCAAGUUACUUCUACCAAGUCAUCCAAGAACAAGUGAAUAGUGCUCAACAACAAUCAAACUUAUCAACCUGUCUAAGUAGCAUUGAACAAAUUCAAUUAACGUUUCUGAAAAUGGUAACUUUUAGAAGCACAGCUUCACUAUUAUUAAGCUCAAAGAUGCAAACAUCUCCCACUUGCAGAAAAUUUUCCUUUGCAAAUUUAGGCCACCCACCUGAUAACGCAGCUGUACCACAAGAUUGAUACCUGACCAAUUUCACAGGCCACCGUCUGCUCUCAACUUGUAAAAUUACUUUGUUCAUGCCAUGCUUUGUACUUUCCGCAGCAAGAUUUAGCGGUACAGGCUACACAAUGAAAACACUGAGGUGCGCCUAUAGGUGGGACGAAUGAUCACUUUGAAGAAAGGAUUCACUGAGGUAACUUUCUUGGCAGCUUCGAUAGCGCCGAGAGCCUUUGCUGAAUUCCCUGGAUAAAACUCCCUGUGGACAAGACUUUCUUCAUGUUUCAAUUGCUUGCUGUUUCCUUCAUGAAACCAACUAAAUCAGAGUAAAAGUUUGUUUCCUGAAGGACAUUGAGCUAAAUUGUAACUAUAAGUUAAAUAAUUGGAUUCAUAAAUUGUAACUGACCAAGUGAUGGGUUGCCAUUUCCAUCUUUGAUGUAUUGGAAAAUGACUACUUUCAAUGUAAUUUCAAUGCGAUUAAUCAGUUCAAAAACACAAACAUCACGAACGUCCAAGUGAUUUUCUUUUGCAAAUUUUCUCCAGCCAUAAUUUAAUUUAGCUGAUAGUUUAUUUCCACUGUAUUCCUUAUACGAAUACCGUACAGACCAAAAUUUCCCAUCAACUGUAUUGAGGGUGACAGCCCCACUUUUUUUGAAAUAUUCCCUGGCAACGCUUGCUGGUAUACUCAUGAAGUAAGGAUUUCCAGAUUUGAGGCUUGUGCUUGCUCUGCGAAGUGCAUUAGCUUUCUCCUCAGCUGUCAAUGGUUUUCUUCUCGCCACAGCUCCAUCCAAUGUUUUCUUCUCAUUGGACAUGCCUUUAAAUUGUUCAGUGGGGAGGUGUUCAUUUGUGUUUUCUGAGGGAUUCUCUACCUUCAUCUUCUUAUGAACCUGAGGGAAUGGUAAUGAUGAUUUAUCUUUUGUUUUUCGGGAUGGGGGGGAAUGACCCACAUCAUUUUCAUUUUCAUCAAUCUUUGGCCCUGGGAAUUCUUGCUCAAGAUUAGGCUCUCCAUUAUCUCUAUUGCUGAUGCUAAAUGGAUAGUCUAUCUCCAAGGCACUCUUGUCAAUUAUGAUUACGUUGAACUGACAAUUUUGUUCAUAUUAAAAAAUUAUGAAGGAUCCAAGGGCCAGAGAGUAAUGCCCCGCAAAUUUCUGCCACCCAUUUUUUAACCAGAUCUCACCAUCACAUUUCACCAGCUCUACCUUCCAUUUUUCACCACUAGGGACCUUCAGGACUGCCGGACUUGACAGAUCACUUCCAUAUCUCCUGACAAACUUUCUUGGAAUGCCCUCUUGUUAAAUUUGGGUCGUCUCUACACCUCAUCGAAUCCCUUUGUUUUGACAUAGAGAGUUGGCUCACUUGCACUCUUCUGAAAACCAUGCUUAUUGAAAUGUCCAUCAAUUCUCUAGUACCAGGCCCUUGGAGCUUGUUU